CCCCGGCCUUGACCAUGAUGAUCGCGGUGCGCGGCUUCUGCAGCGAGUCGGCGAACUCCUGGUAGGUGCGGGCCGGUACGAAGCCGGCCUCGGGGU
rnacentral:tRNA from 1 species